rnacentral:rRNA from 1 species
AACGAACGCUGGCGGCAGGCUUAACACAUGCAAGUCGAACGCCCCGCAAGGGGAGUGGCAGACGGGUGAGUAACGCGUGGGAACAUACCCUUUCCUGCGGAAUAGCUCUGGGAAACUGGAAUUAAUACCGCAUACGCCCUACGGGGGAAAGAUUUAUCGGGGAAGGAUUGGCCCGCGUUGGAUUAGCUAGUUGGUGGGGUAAAGGCCUACCAAGGCGACGAUCCAUAGCUGGUCUGCGAGGAUGAUCAGCCACAUUGGGACUGAGACACGGCCCAGACUCCUACGGGAGGCAGCAGUGGGUAAUAUUGGACAAUGGGCGCAAGCUUGAUCCAGCCAUGCCGCGUGAGUGAUGAAGGCCUUAGGGUUGUAAAGCUCUUUCACCGAUGAAGAUAAUGACGGUAGUCGGAGAAGAAGCCCCGGCUAACUUCGUGCCAGCCGCCGCAGUAAAAC